UUUAGUGGGCAAUAAUGACGGAAGGUUGAUGGUUGGACUGUAUGAUCUUAGUGGUCUUUUCCAACUUGAAUGAUUCUAUGAUUCUGUGAUUCUAAGGGGACACCAAAGGAUGAGUCACAGGCAGCUGCUGGGGAAGGAGGAAACACUAGUAUGUUUUGUGCUAGGUUUCCAUCCCCAUUGCUGUCUAAAGCAGAGGAUUUCUGUGCCUGUAUUUCUAGCUAGAGUAAGCAGCUAGCGAGGUCUUGAAAUCUUCCCUCCAGAAGCACCGACUCUGGGAUUUCAAGCAGGAGUUUGCAAUCCAAUACCAGUGGGAUCUCUUCCAGCCCUACCUUUGGCAUCACACGUCCUUCAGGGCCCCACAAGCGAACGUUUCCAAGCCUCAAGGCUUCGGGUGAAACAUGGAUGAUGUUCCCUUUUCUGUGCCCGUGCUGGAUCAGCAUCCUGGAGCUGGUGCUACGAGCCCGGGGGGCUGUUGUCUGGGAGCUGCAUAAGCUCAGUGAACAAAAGGCAACCCACAGAGUCGCAUCUCAGCCAGCAUUCCCCGGAGGAUUUCUUUUUUGAAGGGUGAAGCUAAUUUGCUGUUUGCAAGGUAGAUCCCCGUCCGGGAAGUACCCAGGUGCGCCAAGGCUUCCUUGUCAUCUGACCAUCCAGAAAUAUUGAUGUGAGUCUGGUGUUUUCACUUCAUCAUGGCUUCAAACGUUUUGUUGGUGUUAAUCAACUACCAAACAGCAGCUGAAAGGCAGUGACACCAAAAUGAAGCACAGAGCUUUCCCCAACCAAUACCAAAACCAACCCUUCCUCCUGUGCAUAGUUUCACCAGUUUUGCUUUCUAGGCACCAAUGUCUGUCUGUAAUAAUGAAGAGAAUCCUUUCCUGGAUCUCCCACAGACACCAUGUUGAUGGCGGGUGGACAAAUGUGGCUCUGUCCUUCCUAAGGGCUGAAGAAAUCAGCGUGUGCUGGAGUGUAAAGCCGUUGUGCAAAAAUAUGCAUUACAUGGCAAGGAAACAGAACGUUUCCUAUUUUUUUCCCUAACAAGGAACUCCUAACUUGUAAAUAAAGUACUAAUACAGGGAUACAAUUUUUUCAGAGCAGUUGAAGAACAUUUGAGGAGGAGAAAGAGGAAAGGAGUUCACAGCUCACUUGGAAAGAACAUACUUUCCCUGUACUCUAGGAAGAUUAUGAAACAAUGUGCUGGAUGUCUCUGGGUGGAGAUAAAGGAAGGGAGAAAUCAAACAAAAUCAGACGCAGUCUCAUGGUAGAAUCUGUUGUACAUCAACUAAUGAAGAAAGGAAACCGAGGAAGGAGUUUUUGAAAAAGAGAGGAAGCGUGGAAAAAUGUUUCCGGGCGAACCUGAGGGAAAAUGAUGUGCCAAGAUCAAGGACAUUUUGAAUUUUGCUGUGAUAAGGAAGAGAAAAAUACAGAGAGGAGGACAGCAUUUAAAGUAUUAGCUGGUGUGCCCUGUAGCCCUUGAGAUCUUGGGGCACAUUCUCCUACUUUGACGGUGUUUCCUUUUCCCCUCUUAAAUCAAUACCAAAUGCUGAAUGAACCGGCUACUGUGGGCAAUUUUAUUCAUGUGAAACACUUGGUUCAUUUCACACAAAUAACAUGACUGUAGACAUUACUUACAUGUUUGUCAUUACUUAUAGAGGAGCAGCAACCGAACCCUGGUUAGAACAGAGUGGUCAUGAUAGGCAGCAUGGACCAGUAUAGCCCCAAGUACCUAUGAAUUUAUUGCUGUAUUUCACCUUGAAUAUCUACCAAAUUCAUGAUACUUCAUUUUUCAACUUAAAAUCAUUUUAUGGAUCUCGUAUGAUGCACGCAGCAUCUCCAUUCAGCAAGAGAAUCAUCCCUGUUCUCAAGAGAGUGAAACAGGAACAGAGAGUUCAAUAAUCUAUAUCUUGCAAAUUCUGAUAAGUCUUAAAGGCAAGACUCUCUUUGUUCAUUGGAGAAACUAGGCGCAUCAUCAAUGCUUGUAUUGUCUCUGUGCUACUAAGCUUGGCCGCUUAGGAGAUGUUGGCGUGGCUCUGGUGAAUGCGCUUCACGUGUCGCUGAAAAGUACACAAGGAAAUGAUCAGAUAGGGUAGGAUGUGGUUAAAGCCUCAGUUUGCAAACUGGAGCUACUGUCGGGGAAGUGUGUUUUGUUUUGCAUCCAUGUAAAACCUCCAGCAAUCUCCUCCCAUUAAGAAGGAGGAGCAGCAAAGAAGGAAUUGUGACUUCCUAAGUUGCAGCUGCUCCUGAAGCUGUUCCUGUUAAUGUUCAGUUUUGUGAGGCCCUGAACAUAGAGCACUGCACUGUGGCUUGCUCCAGCCCUGAGAUUCAGAUGUAACCGAAGCGGCUGCAGGAGGCAGAGUCACAGCGAGACACAACCCCAAAACAGGGUUGUCAUGAGACUUCCAGCCACCUGCGUGGAACCAGCAAAGAGGAGGAAGCAUGAUGUCAGCCCCUUUUCUUCUACAUCUCAUCUAUCCAGGCUAUGAAGGUUUGGGCAAGAGAUAGGUAGAAGAUAGCUGGUGGUAGUGUGAGCAGUGGGAAGGGUCAUGGGGUUUUUCUCUCUGUUGUUCAGCCUGGACAUGCUGAUUGACCAUAUAAAUCUCUGUAUGUUCUUCCUUUCCAUCUCAUGCCACAUAGGUCUGCAAUGGCUUUUCUUUCACCUCACCUCUAGCCUCAAGCGUUUCCCAUCCCUGUUGACCCAUGCACCCCUUCCAUUUCCAAAUCAUGGUAUUAACUUGACAUUUGCAAAAGGUCAUGUUUGCUCUGCCUGAGAGUUACAUUGCUCACUCUUUUGUCUUUUUGCUAUGUAAGCCCUUCAAGGCAGAGGUUAUCUCCAUGGGUAUGGCUGUAGACUGUCCAGGAAAAUGCCCCUGAUAUUCUUUGGUGGUGUAGCAGCUGCAAUAUAUACAAUAAAUGUACUUCCUGGAA